AUUUUUAUAGUUUAUUAGAACAUUAUAUUUUCAUUAUAAAAGAAAUAUUUAUAUUUAAAAAUA
rnacentral:tRNA from 1 species